rnacentral:rRNA from 1 species
CAUGCAAGUCGAGCGGGGAAGGGUAGCUUGCUUCCUGACCUAGCGGCGGACGGGUGAGUAAUGCUUAGGAAUUUGCCUAUUAGUGGGGGACAACAUUUCGAAAGGAAUGCUAAUUCCGCAUACGCCCUUCGGGGGAAAGCAGGGGAUUUUUGGACCUUGCGCUAAUAGAUGAGCCUAAGUCAGAUUAGCUAGUUGGUGGGGUAAAGGCCUACCAAGGCGACGAUUUGUAGCGGGUUUGAGAGGAUGAUUCGCCCCCCUGGGACUGAGACACGGCCCAGACUCCUUCGGGAGGCAGCAGUGGGGAAUAUUGGACAAUGGGCGAAAGCCUGAUCCAACCAUGCCGCGUGUGUUAAGAGGGCCUUUUGGUUGUAAAGCCCUUUAAGCGAGGAGGAGGCUACUUAGAUUAAUUCUUUAGGAUAGUGGA